GUCAAGCGGUGUCGAAAGAAGAUUUUGAAAGGCCGAUCAAUCCGACAAUACGCCCCUGAGGCCAUGAAAUCUACGUAAGACUCCAUACAAGACGAAGGGUUGCGUUUUAGGCCACCUUGUAAAUAAAAUUUAAAAGAAGAGGAUUUAUUUUGGCAAUAACUGGGUUAAAAAUUUGCAAAAUUGUAAUGGAUUUAAAAUUUUGAAAUUUUUUGACAUAAUAAACGAAGGGCAUAAAAUGGGACCAGAAGCUGGCAGCCUCCCUUAUGAAGAAGAGUGGACAUAUCUUCGCGGAUCAUUGUAAUUUCAUUCUCGGUGAUUUAAAAAGUUAAAUUGGAUUUCAACCCCUAUGGAUUUUUACUUACAGUACUUUGGCUGGUACCAGUGAAAACUUGCCGAGUUAUUACCGUCAUAAUCUACCUUGCUGAAAGUAACUCGAGCUCUUUCUCUUAAGGAACGGGUUCAAAUAAAAGGUUACAGAUAGACACGUACAUGUCGUAACCAUUCGGAAUGAUCCUCGGAGGGUACAUUUACAUGCAUUGCUAAAAUGCUUUUUAUCGCACUUUCUUUGAAAGUUCAUUCGUCUGACGAGCAUCCCUUUUAUGGCACACUUUUCGGUGAACGAGCUUCCAUUCAAAAAAAAAAAAAAAAAAAAAAAAAA